GAUGAACGCUAGCGGCAGGCCUAACACAUGCAAGUCAGGGGUAACAUAGGAAAGCUUGCUUUUCUGAUGACGACCGGCGCACGGGUGCGUAACGCGUAUACAACCUACCUUUUAGCGGGGAAUAGCCCAGGGAAACUUGGAUUAAUGCCCCAUAGUAUAUAGACUUCUCCUGAAGUUUAUAUUAAACAUUUAUGGCUAUUAGAUGGGUAUGCGUCCUAUUAGUUAGUUGGUAAGGUAACGGCUUACCAAGGCAGCGAUAGGUAGGGGUCCUGAGAGGGAGAUCCCCACACUGGUACUGAGACACGGACCAGACUCCUACGGGAGGCAGCAGUGAGGAAUAUUGGACAAUGGGCGAGAGCCUGAUCCAGCCAUGCCGCGUGCAGGAAGACUGCCCUAUGGGUUGUAAACUGCUUUUACAGAGGAAGAACCACCCCCACGUGUGGGGGUUUGACGGUACUCUGCGAAUAAGGACCGGCUAACUCCGUG
rnacentral:rRNA from 1 species